CUAAUUUUGGUGCAAAGCAAGUGAAAAACAUCAGUCCAGAACUGUAGAACUUUUCAAAGUGCUGAUAUUCUUUUGGACCAUUCACUGGUACUGUACAACACAAGAUUAGAUUAAGGAAACAAUCAACAAUGUGUCAGGGUACCCGGGACCUCCACAAACACAAUACCGAUGGUUUCAAACAACUGCUAAUCAAACAGGCCUAUGAAAAGAGCUUAAAUGAACAGUUGGAAAAAAUUAUUCCAACAACGAGCUUAGAUGAGCACGCUUCCAUCUUGGAAUCUGCAAUCAAAAUAGCCAUCAAGUCAUCUAUGGCGGUCACGGAGAAACCAAGGAAACCAUGGAUCACAGAGAACACCCUGAAAGUAG
rnacentral:lncRNA from 1 species